rnacentral:rRNA from 1 species
UAGCCUUACCGGUGGAUCACUCGGCUCGUGGAUCGAUGAAGAACGCAGCAAACUGCGAUAAUUUGUGCGAACUGCAGAAACCUUGAGCAUAAAAGUUUUGAACGUGAAUUUCGUCAUUGGGGUCAAACCCUUUGACACGUCUGGUCCAGGGUCAUCUUC